CUGCGGUGAUGUGGAUGAAUUCUCUCUUCCUGACUGAUCGUGGAGAAAAUCCUUUACCAGAUUCUGAGCAGC
rnacentral:snoRNA from 1 species